rnacentral:tRNA from 1 species
GGUUGUGGCUCAGUGGUAGAAUGCUUGCCUAGCAUGUGUGAGGUACUGGGUUCAAUUCUCAGCACCA